rnacentral:rRNA from 1 species
AUUGAACGCUGGCGGCAUGCCUUACACAUGCAAGUCGAACGGCAGCACGGGAGCAAUCCUGGUGGCGAGUGGCGAACGGGUGAGUAAUAUAUCGGAACGUGCCCAGUGAUGGGGGAUAGCCCGGCGAAAGCCGGAUUAAUACCGCAUACGACCUACGGGUGAAAGCAGGGGAUCGCAAGACCUUGCGUCAUUGGAGCGGCCGAUAUCAGAUUAGCUUGNGGUGGGGUAAAGACCUACCAAGGCGACGAUCUGUAGCUGGUCUGAGAGGACGACCAGCCACACUGGGACUGAGACACGGCCCAGACUCCUACGGGAGGCAGCAGUGGGGAAUUUGGACAAUGGGCGCAAGCCUGAUCCAGCCAUGCCGCGUGC